AACGAGGACCUGACCUCCUGGACCGCGGCCGCCAUGGCGGCUAAGAUCACCAGGCGCAAGUGGGUUGCGGCGCGUGUAGCAGAGCAGCACAGGAGCUACCUAGAGGGGGAGUGCAUGCCAUGGCUCCGCCUUUACCUGGAAAAAGGGAAGGAGACCCUGCAGCGCGCAGGCCUUGUGCGCUGCCCACACCCACUGUGUCUGAGGCCUCACCCCAGCUUUUCUGAGUCACGUGGCCUCCACCCAGGUCAGGACCACAAAUCCCUUUUCUCCCCUCAGAGACCUGCCUCGUGCCCUGGGCUGUGUCUCUCUGAUUCUAGAACUUUCUAAAGACUAGGAG